CAUGCACGCACGGCAGCAUUGCAUCCAAACAUGACUGCACCGAGGAACAAGAUCCACCGCAUCGGCAAGAGGAAGGGCGCGACCCUGAAGGACGUCAGCGCCUGGCGCUGGAUCAAGACGGCGGCGCGCCAUUUCAAACAGGAGGGCAAGAUCUUUGUGCCGAACUGCACCGAGAUCAUGAAGAGCUCCCACGGCCGCGAGCGCGCGCCGCAGAACCCGGACUGGUACUACAUCCGCUGCGCCGCCGUCCUGCGCGCCAUCUACCUGCGCCCUGGCGUGGGUUACGGUGGCCUAAGCAAGCGCUUCGGCAACAAGAAGAACUACGGCAGCCGCCCCGAGCACACCGUGACCUCCUCUACCGGUCCCCUCCACUGGGCCUGCAAGUCGCUGACGAAGCUCGGCCUCGUGGAGCCUGGUGCGCAGGCUGGUCAGCGCCUGACCCGCAAGGGCCACAAGUUCGCUGACUCCCUGGCCUUCCAGGUUCAGAUCCGCAAAUUCGGCCAAUCCAAGGCGUAAACCCGUGCCAGCAUGUUUGUAUCCUUUGCAUUUUAUUUUAUAUAUAUAUAUAUAUUUUUCAUUUGCUAGUGAGGGAUUCUCAUGCGCGUAUACAUAUAAAAAGAAAAAGCCAGACGGUGAGAGGGCACAUCUGUGAUCCUUGUGCACCGUUUGUGGUGCGUGCCUGUGCUUCUCUGCGAAGCCAUGUCUACGGCACGCUUCUCAGACACACGCAGUGCAGACAGCAGACGGCGAAUGCUUUUUCUUCCUCUCCGUCUUCCUCGCGCCUGCUGGAUAGCGGGUGGCGCAUCGUGUUGUCAUUCUCACCUCUGCUUGAUAGGGUCACAGGCGGCCAGGAAGGCGAAGGGGGGGGGAGGGGCAUGGAAGGUGAAGAAGCCUGCUUAACGGAGGCGCCGUGCGUCAUGUUGAUGAGAUGGUGGAAUUUUCAUUGGGCCGGUUCUAUCCCGUAGUCGGUGUCCCGAACGGCUCACCUUUUUUUUUGCUGUCAUUGUUGCGCUGCUCACGUUCUCCCCCUCCGUUUCUCUCACUUUGAAG
rnacentral:misc_RNA from 1 species